rnacentral:rRNA from 1 species
GACAAACGCUGGCGGCGUGCGUAAAACAUGCAAGUCGGACGGGCGCUUCGGCGCCAGUGGCAGACGGCUGAGGAACGCGUAGGAACCUACCCUCCAGUGGGGAAUAACGGCCCGAAAGGGCUGCUAAUACCGCAUACGACCCGGCGCGAGUCGGAGGAAAGCCGCGAGGUGCUGGAGGCGGGGCCUGCGUCCGAUUAGCUAGUUGGUGGGGUAACGGCCUACCAAGGCGAUGAUCGGUAGCUGGUCUGAGAGGAUGACCAGCCAGACUGGGACUGGG